rnacentral:ncRNA from 2 species
CUCUUAUCCUGAGAGGUGGAGGGACUGGCCCGAUGAAACCCAGCAACCAUCCGGUAAUGCCGGACUGGUGCUAAUUCCUGCAGAAGAUAAGCUUCUGACAGAUAAGAG